CUGCGCCCUCCAGCCGGCGGCGGUUGUUGUUCGGCGGCGGCGGCCGCAGCUCGGGUGCAGCCUCCGGCCGCCCGCCCGCCCGCCCGCCGGUCCGCGCGCGCGGCCAUGGAGCUGGAGGUGCCGGAGGAGGCGGGGAGCGCCGAGGCGGGGGCCGUGACCUCGGAGGCGGCCUGGGCCGCGGAGAGCGGGGCGGCGGCAGGCUUGGCCCAGAAGAAGAUGGUCCCGACGGAGGCCCCGUUGAUGACUGGACAGCCGGGUCCUGGCCACGGGAAGAAGUUGGGUCAUCGGGGCGUGGACGCCUCUGGCGAAACCACCUACAAGAAGACCACCUCCUCCACCCUGAAGGGGGCCAUUCAGCUGGGUAUCGGCUACACUGUGGGCAAUCUGAGCUCCAAGCCAGAGCGUGACGUGCUCAUGCAAGACUUCUACGUCGUGGAGAGCAUCUUCUUCCCCAGCGAAGGCAGCAACCUCACCCCCGCCCACCACUUCCAGGACUUCAGGUUCAAGACCUACGCCCCCGUCGCCUUCCGCUACUUCCGGGAGCUCUUCGGGAUCCGGCCGGAUGAUUACUUGUACUCGCUGUGCAACGAGCCACUGAUCGAGCUGUCCAACCCUGGCGCCAGCGGCUCCCUGUUCUACGUCACCAGUGACGACGAGUUCAUCAUCAAGACAGUGAUGCACAAGGAGGCCGAGUUCCUGCAGAAGCUGCUGCCCGGCUACUACAUGAACCUCAACCAGAACCCGAGGACGCUGUUGCCCAAGUUCUACGGGCUGUACUGCGUGCAGUCAGGCGGCAAGAACAUCCGCGUGGUGGUCAUGAACAAUAUCCUGCCGCGCGUCGUCAAGAUGCACCUCAAGUUCGACCUCAAGGGCUCCACGUACAAGCGGCGGGCCAGCAAGAAGGAGAAGGAGAAGAGCAUCCCCACCUACAAGGACCUGGACUUCAUCCAGGACAUGCCCGAGGGGCUUCUGCUCGACGCAGACACCUUCUCUGCGCUCGUCAAGACGCUGCAGAGGGACUGCCUGGUGCUGGAGAGCUUCAAGAUCAUGGACUACAGCCUGCUCCUGGGCGUGCACAACAUCGACCAGCAGGAGCGCGAGCGGCAGGCCGAGGGCGCCCAGAGCACCGCGGACGAGAAGCGGCCGCUAGGGCAGAAGGCGCUCUACUCCACGGCCAUGGAGUCCAUCCAGGGCGGGGCUGCACGCGGGGAGGCCAUCGAGUCGGAUGACACGAUGGGCGGGAUUCCCGCCGUGAACGGCCGAGGGGAGCGUCUGCUGCUGCAUAUCGGCAUCAUUGAUAUUCUGCAGUCCUACAGGUUCAUCAAGAAGCUGGAACAUACUUGGAAGGCUCUCGUCCAUGAUGGGGACACUGUGUCUGUCCACCGGCCCAGCUUCUACGCGGAACGCUUCUUCAAGUUCAUGAGCAACACGGUCUUCCGGAAGAAUUCCUCCCUGAAAUCCUCGCCAUCCAAGAAGGGCCGUGGUGCCUUGCUGGCCGUCAAGCCCCUGGGGCCCACAGCUGCCUUCUCGGCCAGCCAGAUCCCCAGCGAGCGGGAGGACGCACAAUACGACCUCCGGGGGGCCCGCAGCUACCCCACACUGGAAGAUGAAGGUCGGCCCGACCUCCUGCCCUGCACGCCGCCAUCUUUUGAGGAGGCCACCACCGCCUCCAUCGCUACUACCCUGUCCUCCACGUCUCUCUCCAUCCCAGAGCGAUCUCCCUCGGAGACGUCUGAGCAGCCGCGGUACCGGCGGCGCACACAGUCUUCGGGACAGGAUGGCCGGCCUCAGGAGGAGACACACGCGGAGGAGGACCUGCAGCAGAUCACGGUGCAGGUGGAGCCCGCGUGCAGCGUGGAGAUCGUGGUCCCCAAAGAGGAGGACACGGGGGUGGAGGCUUCCCCAGCCACUGCCGCUGCCGAAGCAGAAACCACCAGCCAGGCCUCGGAGCCCGCCAGCCAGGCCUCGGAUGAGGAGGAUGCACCUGCCACGGACAUCUACUUUUUCACCGAUGGGAGGUACUGGAUUUACUCUCCCCGGCAUCGCCGACUGCGGGCCGUGACGCUGAGCUCCUCAGGGACUGUAAGUGACCACAGCAGGUGUCCAGGGAGCCCAGCCCCCGGUCCACCACCCUGGGCAGCAGGGAGCCACAGGUCCUGGCUGUCCCUCGUCCUCUGAGAAGGGACUUGGGGAAAGAAUCACUAUGACUGAGGCUGGUCAUGUGUCCCCCAGUGAUGUCACUUAGGUCCCUCUGAGGUGGGCAUUGCUAAGCCUGGAGGCUCACAGCCAGGGCUAAGGGCACUUGGCUGCAGUGGUGGGGUCGGCAUCUGACCCCAGCCCCUGGCUGCCUCUGCCCCUCUCCCCAGCCUGCCUGAGUCAGGGACAAGUCGGUGGACACGUCCUGUAUUCAGACCUGGCUGCUGAUGGCUCCCCCAGGGGCGUCUGCCCUGCAGAAGUAGGCAGUCAUGUGGGUCAGCAAAGCCAGGCUCUUAACUGCAGGAGAGAGGAGAUGUAUUUCCAUACCCACUUCACAGUGGAGAAACCAAGGUCUCGGCUCCCCAGAAAGCCCACAAGAGGGCAUGGUUUAGAUAAAAUCUGGGUGCAAAUUCCCAAGCAGCUCCUGUGUCUAGUAGAUGCUCAUCUAUCUAUUGUGUUUGGGAUGCUGUGUGGAUAUCAUGUAACAGUGGUAUUCUCAGGACCUAUUAUUGUCCUCAUGAGCAAUAAGUGAGGGGCCCAGAGAGGCCAAGUAACCUGCCCAGAGCCAUACAGCACUCAAGCAGGAGGAACAGGUUGAAAUCCUGAAGCAGGAGUUUCUGUUCUCAAGAUGAGUCCCCUCGGAGGCUCACACCCCCAGCCCCAGAUGCCUCUGAGCGUCACUGGGUGUCCAGCUCUGCCGAGCAAACCCAAGAAGUGGAAACCACUUCCCCAGACAUUCCCACCGUGCUGUGUCCUGCUGAGACAGGGAUGCCACACCCUUAAAAUGAUCCAAGAGCUGAGGACACACAGCAGGCCCUGAGGGCCCCCCACCAGGGGAACAAUUUGUAAAGGCUGCCUGCAGAGGGGUUGACCCCAGGGUGUGGGGAGGUGGGAGAAGGAAGGGUGGGCUCCGUAGAGGGCACAGCGGAGGCUGGUGGGGGGCACAUAGGAGCAGAGGGAGCAGCAAGUAUGAAGGGUAGGUGAAUGGGAGCAGACCCUAGGGCCUGCAGUACUGGGGAGGAUGUGUCCUUGGCCCCACUUUAGUGGGGUCAUCGCCGGGUUCUGGGUCCUGCUGCCCGUGAUCCCUCCCUCCGCCGGAACCAGCUCCUUGCAGAGUUCAGGUGGAGACCCUCUUGUCCCACGUUCUUGUCCCGUGGCUCUGAACAUGGGAUGUAGCUGCCCCAUGUUGGACACUGGGCACGAGCAGCCCCAGACAGACCCUGCCCCCGGACUUCUGGGCAGGCUGGGGUUUUUGUGCGCUGUGACCACUAAGCAGUGAGCAGGGCCUGUGCGCCAUUGUACCAGUCCGUCUGCUGAGGAUGACCUUCAAGGGGUGUGUGGCCCUGGGCCAGGUGCUCAGACCAGAAUGAGCGGCCCGUGGUGCCCAGUGGGCCAAGUGCCUCCUGCGGGUGCCACGGUCUGGCCGGUGAGGGCAGGUUCUGCAGCGAGAGCUAUAGGAGGGGCAGGGAGGAGUGGGCACAGAGGUGGGGAGAGGCAGUGGGGGCCCCAAGGGGCAGCGAGGGCAGAGGGGCCUGCAUUCACCCGGAGAGCACAGAGGCCGCAUGCUGGCGCUUGUUCUUCACCAGGCUCUGAAGAAGCCAGCCCUGCAGAGGCGAGGCUGGUUGUAGAGAAGGGGCAGCCCAAUGGAAGAGGGGCAGGUCUGGGGGCUCGUUGGGUUGUGGCCUCCGUAGGUUUAGCCAGGGCAGGUGCCUGCUGAGGCCCCGUGCUCCGAGCAGAGGCCAGGCAACGGGCUAGGUCCACAAGCGCUGAAGACUGGGAGGUGGGGGUCUGCGGGAAAGAGGAGGAAGAAAGAGAAGAAGGGGGCUGCGGGGGUUCUUGUGGUGAGAACAGACCCAGGAGGGACCGGUGUGGGUGCUGGAAGAACGUGCGCCCCCCCGAGUCUGACCCAGAAUGGGGACCCCUUCCCUGACACCCCUGGAGGAAAAGCAGCCCACCUUCUGGCUGGGCCUCUGUUGUUUGCUCUCUGGGUGCCCCGGGCCUCGGUCUCACCUGGGCACGAGGAAAUGGGCUCCACCCUGCGCCCCCCAGGGCACUCACCACCCAGGACCCCCAGUGGAGGGUCCUCAGGGCCCCACUCCGGCUGGCGGCCCCGGUGGCCACACAGCAGGCUGGACCUGAGGCUGGGGUGCUGCCGGGCGCCCCGGGAGGCCCGAGCAGGAGGCCCGGACGAACAAGAGGGCGGGGCAGGGGGAGGGGACAGCAAGCAAACCCCGCCCCGCCCCCUCCCGCUCCGCUGUACCGGGCCCCGCCUGCACUCCGCGCCCCGCUUCCUGCCGCCUACCCCGCGCUGCCGCCGCUCAGCCCCGCCGGCCCCACAGCCGUCCAGCCCACCGAUGAGAGGAGCUGGGUGUACUCCCCGCUUCACUAUAGCGCGCACGCCCACCCAGCCUCCGACGGCGAGAGCGACACAUAACUUCUAUGCACUCACCGCCCUGGAGCCGAGCGCCCGCCGCCGCCGCCCUGGCUGCUUGGCGGAGGCACUGCCCGCCCGCCGGACCCGGUCCGCCGCCGGCCGCCGCCGCUCCUGUCAACUACCUAUGACUGUGAACCUCCCUGAGUGUCCGAUCACGUAUUUAUUUUGGGUCCUUACUCUUUGCACAAAGACGGCAGCACAGGUGUGCUUUUUUAGAAAAAGAUUUAAAAAAAAAAAAAAAAAGACGUGUUGGAAAAACGAAGAAAGUCCACUCCACUGCACUUUGUAGUUCUUUGCUGUGCUUGCAUGUGUCUCCCUGAGGGAACAAGGCCUGUUGGCUCCCGGGACCUGUGCCCCCAGGGCCUGGUCACCCCGGCUGAGAUCCACACUCCGAGGUUCUGCCGCUCUCCACUUGGACGGGGUGCCCCCGCGCCCGCAGGCACUCUGGGCUCAGGCACUGGACAUCCGUCCUUGGAGAUGGCCGACCAGUGGUCUGGGGGCGGCUUUCCACCUCCCCCACCCCCCACCCUGAUGUUUUCAAUCACCUCACCUGCCAGGUGACUCGGGAGCAGGAGUGGCCAGGAGGCCACCCCUCUCCGUGGAGCUCAGGACUGUGGGCCUCUCUGUCCUCCCCACGCGGCCCGCUCUGUAUCUCGCAGAGAGGGCCUAAGGCCUAAGUGAAGGGAGACGCGCUGGGCCCUCAGGCCGUGGGACUUCCAGAGAGCGGGUCCUGCAGCAGGGGCCCUCCCACGGUCAAGCUGCUCUGCUGUCCAGUAAGAGAUCCCCCUCCAGGACCGGGAAGGGCUUUCUUUUUCUUUUAAGAUGGUGACGUGUAAACAACUAAAGAAUAGGAGACAAAGUUCUUCGUGAAAAACAAAAUAAAUUUUGGGGGUUUGUCGUCUUCAGCAGGAGCAGCCCCCCCCCCCCGGGCUCAGAGACCCCACUGGGUCCAGAGGGGACUAUGGGAGCCGCUGGCAUGGCAGGGUCUGUCCUGCCCCCACAGAAAUGCCCUCCCACCUCUUGAGAGGUGGAACAGCGGGGAUGGUUUCCCCCUGCCCGCUCUGCCCCCCACCCCCCAUGGCUUGCUUGCUUGGGAGGAGCUAGGAGCUGGCUUGGAGCAGAAGCUACACCUGGAAGAAUUUCUCCCAGCCCUUGCCUUCCUGGCGGAGAACCCACUGAUCCAGGAGUUUGAUUUUCCGAGUCCCUCAUCUGGGUCCCUCACCUGCUGUCAUCUCCCCUCACACGGCUCACUUCGUGCGCCUGGAGGGAGCCUGUUGGACUGGCUGCUGUCUGUCCAGGGCGGCCAGGGACGCGCCAGCAUGCAGCCCGGGUAAGGCAGCAGUGAGAGGAUCCAUCAGAACAAGCCCUGUGGGUGUCCCAGAUCAGAAGCAAAAUGAUGUCUUCUCCUUGUUGCCCUAGAGGGCUUUGUCCAGACGGCAGGAGGUGUCCUCACCUGGAUUUUAGAUGGGCGUCUGUCUGCAAGUGCCCUGGCUGCAUGCCAUGAGUCGCCAGUCCAUCCCUACCCCUUCCCGCCGAGGAGGUGGCAGCUGAGCAAGAGGUGCAUCUCAGGUCUUGAAGACUAACAGGGACGACUGUGUCACCCAAAAGCCGGCAUUGGAGUCCCUGCCCAGGCCCCCAAAGGCCGGAUGUUCAGGCACGUUGUGAGUUCUGUGGGGAUGGCCAGAGCAGCAUGCACAGUCCUGGAGCAGUGCGCCCCAUGUCCAGGGCAUCCUCAGCCACUUGGAGCUUUAGGAGCAAGGAGGGGAGCUCUGCUGGUCCCCUCGGGCUUUCCUCAGUGAAUCAUGGAACAAAGGCAUCGCUUGGAUGCUAACUUGCGAGAGAAAUUUGCAAGCCUCCUGGAUAUCAUGACGUUUCUGUUUUUGUGUUAGGUCGCUGAGACCCCUUUGGAGACCUGUUUUGUGUUGGUUGCAUUCUUUGUCCCUUUUCAGAGAACUGUCACGUGGAUGCUAACGUGGUCUGCAGACUGUGCCGAUGGGAGUUGUUUGCUUAUUAUUUGGGGGGCCAGGGGCGGGAAGGCAAGACUUUAUUUAUAAUGUGUAGCAAAUUCGUGGCCUUUCCAAGGCCCCCCCCACCCCCAGAGGAAGGCCCUGGACCCACCCAGCUGUUGCCAACCCCCAGCAUAGAAAUCGAAAUUCCUUCAUGGCGACACCCUGUCUCCCUUGUGGCUCAUCUCUGAUGGCUGCGGCCGCUGAGAGCCGAGAGCCUGGGCACUGUCUGGAUGGCUGAGCUGUGAAAAUGAAAGACAUUUCCCGAGACUGACAAGGUGCAGCUUCCCGAGAGCCCCUGCCAGCCUCCCUCCUCCAACCUCCCCUCGCCCCUCCCUCCACCACUUGGCUCAGUGCAAUACUCCCCUUCCGGUGGGGUCCCUUGCCAUGGUACUGUCGCUGCAGCCCCUCGGUCCAUGCCCUGGGCCAGCGCCUUCCACCGCCUUUUCUCUGGUGGCUCAGUUGCAUCGCCUGUCCCCCCCACCCACCCCCAUGUCGUUUUUAUGGUCGAACUGAUUUCAAAACAAUGAAACUGCAAACCUUGUGUGUCUUAAUUCUCUCUGGGGGUUCCGUGUGCUCAGCCCCCAUGGUCUGGGGUGUGACAAUCCAGAGCGCGGCCUCAUCGGGCACAGAAUGCCGUCUCUCUCAAACCCAGAGCCGUGGGCACCUCUGUAACUGUGCAGACCUGCUGGCCCUGGAUAACAUAUGCAGCCUCGGGCCCCCUCCCCGCCACCCCUCCUUCUUUUUAUGUUGAAGAGUUCUCUCUAAUAAAAUCGGGUAAUAAGCAUCA